rnacentral:rRNA from 1 species
UCCUUAUCUGAAUACAUAGGAUAAGCGAAGCGAACCCGGAGAACUGAACCAUCUAAGUACCCGGAGGAAAAGAAAUCAACCGAGAUUCCGCAAGUAGUGGCGAGCGAACGCGGAGGAGCCUGUACGUGAUAACUGUCGAGAUAGAAGAACAAGCUGGGAAGCUUGACCAUAGUGGGUGAUAGUCCCGUAUUCGAAAUCUCAAUAGUGGUACUAAGCGUACGAAAAGUAGGGCGGGACACGUGAAAUCCUGUCUGAAUAUGGGGGGACCAUCCUCCAAGGCUAAAUACUCAUCAUCGACCGAUAGUGAACCAGUACCGUGAGGGAAAGGCGAAAAGAACCCCGGGAGGGGAGUGAAAUAGAACCUGAAACCUGAUGCAUACAAACAGUGGGAGCACCCUUGUGGUGUGACUGCGUACCUUUUGUAUAAUGGGUCAACGACUUACAUUCAGUAGCGAGCUUAACCGAAUAGGGGAGGCGUAGGGAAACCGAGUCUUAAUAGGGCGAACAGUUGCUGGGUGUAGACCCGAAACCGAGUGAUCUAUCCAUGGCCAGGUUGAAGGUGCCGUAACAGGUACUGGAGGACCGAACCCACGCAUGUUGCAAAAUGCGGGGAUGAGCUGUGGAUAGGGGUGAAAGGCUAAACAAACUCGGAGAUAGCUGGUUCUCCCCGAAAACUAUUUAGGUAGUGCCUCGAGCAAGACACUGAUGGGGGUAAAGCACUGUUAUGGCUAGGGGGUUAUUGCAACUUACCAACCCAUGGCAAACUAAGAAUACCAUCAAGUGGUUCCUCGGGAGACAGACAGCGGGUGCUAACGUCCGUUGUCAAGAGGGAAACAACCCAGACCGCCAGCUAAGGUCCCAAAUGAUAGAUUAAGUGGUAAACGAAGUGGGAAGGCCCAGACAGCCAGGAUGUUGGCUUAGAAGCAGCCAUCAUUUAAAGAAAGCGUAAUAGCUCACUGGUCGAGUCGUCCUGCGCGGAAGAUGUAACGGGGCUCAAAUCUAUAACCGAAGCUGCGGAUGCCAGUUUACUGGCAUGGUAGGGGAGCGUUCUGUAGGCCAAUGAAGGUGCAUUGUAAAGUGUGCUGGAGGUAUCAGAAGUGCGAAUGUUGACAUGAGUAGCGAUAAAGCGGGUGAAAAGCCCGCUCGCCGAAAGCCCAAGGUUUCCUACGCAACGUUCAUCGGCGUAGGGUGAGUCGGCCCCUAAGGCGAGGCAGAAAUGCGUAGUCGAUGGGAAACAGGUUAAUAUUCCUGUACUUGAUUCAAAUGCGAUGUGGGGACGGAGAAGGUUAGGUUAGCAAGCUGUUGGAAUAGCUUGUUUAAGCCGGUAGGUGGAAGACUUAGGCAAAUCCGGGUCUUCUUAACACCGAGAAGUGACGACGAGUGUCUACGGACAUGAAGUAACCGAUACCACGCUUCCAGGAAAAGCCACUAAGCUUCAGUUUGAAUCGAACCGUACCGCAAACCGACACAGGUGGGCAGGAUGAGAAUUCUAAGGCGCUUGAGAGAACUCGGGAGAAGGAACUCGGCAAAUUGAUACCGUAACUUCGGGAGAAGGUAUGCCCUCUAAGGUUAAGGACUUGCUCCGUAAGCCCUGGAGGGUCGCAGAGAAUAGGUGGCUGCGACUGUUUAUUAAAAACACAGCACUCUGCUAACACGAAAGUGGACGUAUAGGGUGUGACGCCUGCCCGGUGCUGGAAGGUUAAUUGAAGAUGUGCAAGCAUCGGAUCGAAGCCCCAGUAAACGGCGGCCGUAACUAUAACGGUCCUAAGGUAGCGAAAUUCCUUGUCGGGUAAGUUCCGACCCGCACGAAUGGCGUAACGAUGGCCACACUGUCUCCUCCCGAGACUCAGCGAAGUUGAAGUGGUUGUGAAGAUGCAAUCUACCCGCUGCUAGACGGAAAGACCCCGUGAACCUUUACUGUAGCUUUGCAUUGGACUUUGAAGUCACUUGUGUAGGAUAGGUGGGAGGCUUUGAAGCAGAGACGCCAGUCUCUGUGGAGCCGUCCUUGAAAUACCACCCUGGUGUCUUUGAGGUUCUAACCCAGACCCGUAAUCCGGGUCGGGGACCGUGCAUGGUAGGC